AUUGAACGCUGGCGGCAGGCUUAACACAUGCAAGUCGAGCGAGCGGCGGACGGGAGAGUAAUGUAUGGGAAACUGCCUGAUGGAGGGGGAUAACUACUGGAAACGGUAGCUAAUACCGCAUACCAUCAGAUGUGCCCAGAUGGGAUUUGCUAGUGGGAGGGGUAAAGGCGCACCUAGGCGACGAUCCCUAGCUGGUCUGAGAGGAGGACCAGCCACACUGGAACUGAGACACGGUCCAGACUCCUACGGGAGGAAGCAUUGGGGAAUAUGGCACAAUGGGCGCAAGCCUGAUGCAGCCAUGCCGCUUGUGGGAAGAAGGCCUUCGGGUUGUAAAGCACUUUCAGCGAGGAGGCGUUACUCGCAGAGGAAGCACCGGCUAACUCCGUGCCAGCAGCCGCGGUAAUUC
rnacentral:rRNA from 1 species